CCUACGGGUGGCAGCAGUGGGGAAUAUUGCGCAAUGGGCGAAAGCCUGACGCAGCGACGCCGCGUGAGGGAUGAAGGUCUUCGGAUCGUAAACCACUGUCAGCAGGGAAGAACGGUCAAUGUGCUAAUCAGCAGUGAAUUGACGGUACCUGCAAAGGAAGCACCGGCUAACUCCGUGCCAGCAGCCGCGGUAAUACGGAGGGUGCGAGCGUUAAUCGGAAUUACUGGGCGUAAAGCGCUCGUAGGCGGUAUGUAAAGUCAAGGGUGAAAUCCCCGGGCUCAACGUGGGAACUGCCUUUGAAACUGGCAAACUGGAGUGUGUGAGAGGAUAGUAGAAUUCCAGGUGUAGGAGUGAAAUCCGUAGAGAUCUGGAGGAACAUCAGUGGCGAAGGCGACUAUCUGGAACAUAACUGACGCUGAGGUGCGAAAGCGUGGGUAGCAAACAGGAUUAGAUACCCGGGUAGUC
rnacentral:rRNA from 1 species